rnacentral:tRNA from 1 species
GGGGUUGUAGCUCAGUGGUAGAGUGCUUGCCUUGCAAGUGGAAGGCAUUGUGUUCAAUCCUU